rnacentral:lncRNA from 1 species
GAACCAAUGGGAAACCUCUAGAGGGUAUUUAAACCCCAGAAACUCGUGUAACCCAUGCUCUUGAACCACUUGCUCCAGGCAUCUCCCACCCUGUGGAGUGUACUUUCGUUUAAGUUAAAUCUCUGCUUUUGCUGCCUUGUUUUGUCCAAUUCUUUGUUCAAAAAGCCAAGAACCUGGGCAACUACGCUUAACUGGUAACAUAUGUUGGGGAACCAGCCAGGAGUCUUUCAGCGGCCGUUUCCUAGCAGCUCCUUAGUAAUUGAGGGCAACUGGCCAGGACCACUCUCUGGUGUUACCUGAAGGCCAAGGAGUGACCGGUGAUAGCUGCCUGCCUGGAAGGGGGAAGGGCUCUUUUCCGUCUUGUCCAGUUAUCAUCCCUGAACCCUCCAUGUGAUGCAGUUGGCAGUGGCAGCCCAUCCAGGGUGAACUCAUGUUUCAGGCGAGUUAAACCUUGUUUCCUUAUGCUAAAUUCUUCCCUUCCCCUACUCAACUGGCUAAGGACAAGUCAGAGGGUUUGCGCAGAUGGUUUGUGUGUGUCAUGCGGGGGGAUUCAUAAAAGGGAAUUUAUGUACAAUUUAAUCUUGCCUAAAUUUAGAAAGUUAAAUAAUUGUUUUAAGUGGGAUAGGAAAAAAUCCAAAGGUUUGACUGAAAAUUAAUUUCUAGAAAUCAAGGCCUUCAUCCAGGGACAAGAGGGAAAGUUCAUAGUGGGCCAUCAGUGGUGGAGGAAACCAUUCCAUAGUGGUGUCAGAUCUAAGGUCAGAGACGUCCGACAGACUAAGAUGGGGCCCUAAAGAGGGAUGUCCCCCAGGACCCCAGUCAGGGCCCAGAAUUUUUCCAGGGGGAUGACCCGUGUAAAAUUUGGGUCACCUAAUGGGCCCUCCACUUUCCAAAGUCCUCUUCUCUUUUCCAGACCACUAUAGGCAACUCUCCAUCGAUUCCACCUGAUUCCUCUAUGGGCCACUCUCCAUCUAUUUCACCUGGUACCCUGCUUGGCUACAUCCUCCACCAUUGAAAUCAACUUUACCCUGACAAUCUAAAGAGAAAAUAGACCAUCAAGUUUCAGAUGAUCCUGUGACAAGGUUUCCAGCCUGUUCCAAAUGAAGGCAGCACCCCUGGCCAUCAAGAAACUACCCAGUCUCCACUCGAUAGAUAAAGGCAGGAGUUCGGGGAUCCCCAAUAGGUAGGGACUGCACCUCAAGUCAGGGUGACGCAGUUACAGAAGAAAGACCAUCAGUCACUCUGUCUCCCAUAAAGAUUUCUGGGGAUCAUGUCUCUCGGGGGAAAUGAGGCAGGAGAAUAGGGUCUGGAGGCAGGGAACCUAAGUUCGAUGCAUGCUGACUGGAUAUCAGAGGCUACUCCCUUUCAACCCCUCCUUUUUCUGCAUGGCAGUUGCUGCCUGGCAGUUGGAAAUGAAAGUACCUCGGAUUGGUUCCCUCCCGCAACCAAUCAGACUGGUUGCGGGCCACUACUUUAUGUGCAUAGAGUGAACAGAUGGGAAACCCCUGGAGGGUAUUUAAACCCCAGAAAAUCCUGUAGCCCAGGCUCUUGAGCCUCUUGCUCGAGCCCGCUCCCACCCUGUGGAGUGUACUUUCGUUUAAAAUAAAUCUCUGCUUUUGCUGCCUU